rnacentral:rRNA from 1 species
ACCCGCUGAUUUAAGCAUAUCAAUAAGCGGAGGAAAAGAAACCAACCGGGAUUGCCUCAGUAACGGCGAGUGAAGCGGCGAGAGCUCAAAUUUGAAAGCUGGCUCCUUCGGGGUCCGCAUUGUAAUUUGCAGAGGAUGCUUCGGGUGCAGCCCCCGUCUAAGUGCCCUGGAACGGGCCGUCAUAGAGGGUGAGAAUCCCGUAUGGGGCGGGGUGUCUGCGUCCGUGUGAAGCUCCUUCGACGAGUCGAGUUGUUUGGGAAUGCAGCUCUAAAUGGGUGGUAAAUUUCAUCUAAAGCUAAAUACUGGCCGGAGACCGAUAGCGCACAAGUAGAGUGAUCGAAAGAUGAAAAGCACUUUGAAAAGAGAGUUAAACAGCACGUGAAAUUGUUGAAAGGGAAGCGCUUGCAACCAGACUCGCUCGCGGGGUUCAGCCGGGCUUCGGCCCGGUGUACUUCCCCGCGGGCGGGCCAGCGUCGGUUUGGGCGGCCGGUCAAAGGCCUCCGGAAUGUAGCGCCCUUCGGGGCGCCUUAUAGCCGGGGGUGCAAUGCGGCCAGCCUGGACCGAGGAACGCGCUUCGGCACGGACGCUGGCAUAAUGGUUGUAAACGACCCGUCUUGAAACACGGAA